ACAGUUAACAUGAAAGAAAAAACACUAUUUACAGUAAGGUUUAAAUCACAGUUAACAUGAAAGAAAAAACACUAUUUACAGUAAGGUUUAAAUCACAGUUAACACGAAAGAAGAAAAAAGCUGUAAUGUAUAAAAUAUAACUUAUUGUUAUAUCUUAGGACUUCUUACACUUCUCUUAGAAUAUUUUCUUUUUUUCAUGACAGAAAAGUUAACCUUUUCAAGUAGGCACUCCCUGUACUUCUAAACUCUGGUUCCAUGUCAGAUUUUAACACAGGGGAGUAGUUUGAAGCAUUCCUAAACUCACAGACCUUUAAUUCUAGGGUCAGAUUGAAAACACUGUGGGGAGCUCUACAGCAUUCCUAAACUAACAUCAAACUGGUCUUGAGUCAGAUAUUGAACAGUGGGGAAAAGCACAGAUGAACACUGGGUCUUGUUCCCUGGUCUACAGAAAUCUAAGACAUUCCUAAACUAACAUCAAACUGGUCUUGGGUCAGAUAUUGAACAGAGGGUAAAAGCCCUGGGAAACAUUACUGAACACUGGGUCUUGUUCUCUGGUCAGGUUGAGACCACUGGGGUGUAGUUUUCUACUUUUUAGUAGGAUGGUUCACUUGUGUUUUGCACACGUUCUUGACUUAAAGUUCCGCAAAGUCUCGUACACACACACACACACACACACACACACACACACACACACACGUCGUCAGAGUCUGUGGACAGAUUUACCUGUCAAUCUAGAGGGUUUUCUCCUAAGAGGUGGUGCAGACAGUCAUCCUGGUCUUAUUUUCUUUGUGUGGGUGCCAGACACAGAAGCCUCCACUCAAAGUAAAUUUGCUCACUUUUCUUUCACUUUCCUUUUGUGCCUUUAAUAACUCUUCUCAAGGUCUAUAAACCAAUUAAAAACUUGUCAAUGUCUAGAAACCAUUUAUAAACUUGUCAAUGUCUAGAAACCCUUUCAACUCUUCUCAAUGUCUCAAAGCCCUUCAAACUCUUCUUAAUGUCUCAAAGCCCUUCAAACUCUUCUUAAUGUCUCAAUGCCCUUUAAAUUAUUUUCAAUGUCUCAAGGACACAUAAACAAAUCUGGACUUAAUGGGGCUGAAUUAAGGUGUCAGGACAUCAAAGCCAGGAUGUGGGCAUGGCAUGG
ensembl:lncRNA